AUGCUUGUGGCACUGUUGAUGGUUUUAUGGAGCAUGGUGCUGCUGAUGCAAAGUUCAUCAGGAGAAAUCAUCCUGACUCAGACUCCGGGACAGACUGUCUGUAUCAGAUGUAAAGCCAGUUCAAGGGUUAGCAGCUACCUCCACUGGUACCUUCAAAAGGACGGAGAAUCUCCCAAACUCUUAAUUUAUUCUGCUACCAGCCGUCAGUCUGGAGUUUCUGAUCGUUUCAGUGGAAGUGGAUCUGGGUUUGACUACACUCUGACCAUCAGUGGAGUUCAGGCUGAAGAUGCAGGAGUUUAUUACUGUCAGCAGGGUUACUGCACGGCCUUUGUAUCACUGUGGUGGACUUUUGGUGGAGGAACCAGACUGGAUGUUGGAAGUGAUACCCGCCCCGCCCUGAAGGUGCUGGGUCCCUCCAGUGCAGAGCUGGACCAGGGGAAGGCCACGCUCAUGUGUGUGGCCAACAAGGCCUUCCCCUCAGACUGGAGUCUGUCCUGGAAGACGAGCGACAGCAGUGGCAGCAGCAGCAUCAGAGGGGAGGAGAGCAGGACUCCUGGAGUGCUGCAGAAUGACGGCCUCUACAGCUGGAGCAGCACCCUGACGCUCACUGCAGACCAGUGGGGGAAGGUGGGCUCUGUGACCUGUGAGGCCACCCAGGGCUCCCAGACUUCAGUCUCAGAGAUACUGAGGAGAGACCAGUGUUCCCAGUCCUGAUGUCAAUCACUGAGUCUUUCAUGCUCUUUUUUUCUGUCUCUUUGUUUCUUUUAUUUGCUGAUAUUUCAAAACCCAUCAAAUAGUCAUGUUUCCAUCCCAUAAUGACAAAAAUCAUAGCAACAAUCUCAUCUAGUUUCAUCC